AAAAAGAUAAGCUAAAAAAUAAGCUAUUAGGUUCAUACCCUAACUAUAGAUUUAAAUCUUCUUUUUA
rnacentral:tRNA from 1 species